CAAAUUGCCCAAUCCUGACACAGGGAGGUAGUGACAAUAAAUAACAAUGCCGGGUCCUUUAGGAUCUGGCAAUUGGAAUGAGAACAAUUCAAAUCCAUUAUCAAGGAUCAAUUGGAGGGCAAGUCUGGUGCCAGCAGCCGCGGUAAUUCCAGCUCCAAUAGCGUAUAUUAAAGUUGUUGCAGUUAAAAAGCUCGUAGUUGGAUUUCUGGCGGGAGUGAUCGGUCCGGCUCUCAGAGUUGGUACUCGUAUCCUCUCCUGCCAUCUUUCAGGAGAAUUUUGGUGGCAUUAAGUUGUCGCUUAAAGGAUCCUGAUCUUUUACUGUGAAAAAAUUAGAGUGUUCAAAGCAGGCUUAUGCCGUUGAAUAUACUAGCAUGGAAUAAUAAGAUAGGACUAUGGUACUAUUUUGUUGGUUUGUGCACCAUGGUAAUGAUUAAUAGGGACAGUUGGGGGUAUUGGUAUUGCUUUGUCAGAGGUGAAAUUCUUGGAUUUCAGCAAGACCAACUACUGCGAAAGCAUUUACCAAGGAUGUUUUCAUUAAUCAAGAACGAAAGUUAAGGGAUCGAAGAUGAUUAGAUACCAUCGUAGUCUUAACCAUAAACUAUGCCGAUUAGGGAUUGGUAGUUUGUCCUAUGACACUAUCAGCACCUUAUGAGAAAUCAAAAUCUUCGGGUUCCGGGGGGAGUAUGGUCGCAAGUCUGAAACUUAAAGAAAUUGACGGAAGGGCACCACCAGGAGUGGAGCCUG
rnacentral:rRNA from 1 species